AAGGAGAGGUGUUUGGAUGGUUUACCAUCAUUCUCAAAAGGCUCCAGGCUACGUCUUUUGGGGCUUAAUGGAAGAUUCCUGAAGGCAGAGCUUUUUGUCUGAAUUCCUAGUGCCUAGAUGAAUGCUUCAUACAUAGCACAGGCUAGUCUGCUGGAGGAUGAGACACCACAUGAAUCAGCUGCAUCAGCCCAGUUCUCCCAGCCCAAGCCCCAGAUGUGUGAGAAAGGUCAAUAAAGGCGAUCACGGCUGACCUACUGGCUGAGCACCGAUGCAUAAAUAAGCCCAAGCAAGAACCAAAGAAUCACCACC
rnacentral:lncRNA from 1 species